rnacentral:rRNA from 1 species
UACAGAGGUCCCGAGCGUUGUUCGGAUUUACUGGGCGUAAAGGGUGCGUAGGCGGUUGGGUAAGUCUGAUGUGAAAUCUCCAGGCUCAACUUGGAAAUGGCAUUGGAUACUAUCCAGCUAGAGGAUCGGAGGGGGGACUGGAAUUCCCGGUGUAGCAGUGAAAUGCGUAGAUAUCGGGAGGAACACCAGUGGCGAAGGCGAGUCCCUGGACAAUACCUGACGCUGAGGCACGAAAGCCGGGGGAGCAAACAGG